rnacentral:tRNA from 1 species
UCUCACAUAGCACAAUUGGUAGUGCAGUUGGCUGUUAACCAAAAGGUUACAGGUUCGAGUCCUGUUGUGAGAGCCA